rnacentral:rRNA from 1 species
UACGUAGGGGGCGAGCGUUGUCCGGAUUUAUUGGGCGUAAAGAGCGCGUAGGUGGUUCGUAAAGUCGGAUGUGAAAGUCCAGGGCUCAACCCUGGGAUGCCAUUCGAUACUUGCGAACUAGAGCACGGUAGGGGGAUCUGGAAUUCCUGGUGUAGCGGUGAAAUGCGCAGAUAUCGGGAGGAACACCAAUGGCGAAGGCAGCUCGCUGGGACGUUACUGACGCUGAGACGCGAAAGCGUGGGGAGCAAACAGGAUUAGAUACCC